GCUCAAGAUGGAGUAUGCCGAGGUGCGUGUGCUGCACCUGGCUCACAAGGAUCUGACAGUGCUCUGCCAUCUGGAACAGCUGCUCUUGGUCACCCAUCUUGACUUGUCACACAAUCGCCUCCGAACCCUGCCACCUGCACUGGCUGCCCUGCGCUGCCUUGAGGUAAAGUACCCAUGUCUCCGUCCCUGUCACGGGUGGUUCUUUUCCUCUUCCUCUCCCUCAGAAGUCUGCCCAUCCUACAAGGAGAUGUGCAGGACCCUCCACCCCGAACAGGUAACUGCGUGCCUUCCACCUCCAUCACGCAGCCUGACCCUGUGAGCCCCUCUGUGCUCUGUGGACCCGUCACCCUGAGCUCCUCAGUUGCUGAACCAUCCCUGGCUGACAGCGCCUGUCCUGCCUCCCUGCCCUCCCUGCCCCCAGGUGCUGCAGGCCAGUGAUAAUGCCAUAGAGUCCCUGGACGGCGUCACCAACCUACCCCGGCUGCAGGAGCUGCUACUGUGCAACAACCGCCUCCAGCAGCCUGCAGUGCUCCAGCCUCUUGCCUCCUGCCCCAGGCUGGUCCUCCUCAACCUGCAGGGUAACCCGCUGUGCCAAGCGGUGGGCAUCUUGGAGCAACUGGCUGAACUGCUGCCUUCAGUUAGCAGCGUCCUCACCUAAGAGGCCCUGCCCCCUACCCUUGCCCUUUAACUUAUUGGGACUGAAUAAAGAAUGGAGAGGCCCUCUCAGGCUACCAA
rnacentral:lncRNA from 1 species